AGCCACCUGGGUCGACACUGACGCUCAUGUACGAAAGCGUGGGUAGCAAACAGGAUUAGAUACCCUGGUAGUCCACGCCGUAAACGAUGUCUACUAGCAGUUUGGAGCUUAAGCUCUGUCUUGCGCAGCUAACGCAUUAAGUAGACCGCCUGGGGAGUACGGCCGCAAGGUUAAAACUCAAAUGAAUUGACGGGGGCCCGCACAAGCGGUGGAGCAUGUGGUUUAAUUCGAUGCAACGCGAAGAACCUUACCAUCUCUUGACAUCCAGAGAAUUUAGCAGAGACGCUUUAGUGCCUUCGGGAACUCUGAGACAGGUGCUGCAUGGCUGUCGUCAGCUCGUGUUGUGAAAUGUUGGGUUAAGUCCCGCAACGAGCGCAACCCUUAUCCUUAGUUGCCAGCACGUAAUGGUGGGAACUCUAAGGAGACUGCCGGUGACAAACCGGAGGAAGGUGGGGACGACGUCAAGUCAUCAUGGCCCUUACGAGAUGGGCUACACACGUGCUACAAUGGCAAGUACAAAGGGUUGCAAACUCGCGAGAGUAAGCGGAUCCCAUAAAGCUUGUCGUAGUCCGGAUUGGAGUCUGCAACUCGACUCCAUGAAGUCGGAAUCGCUAGUAAUCGUGGAUCAGAAUGCCACGGUGAAUACGUUCCCGGGCCCUUGUACACACCGCCCGUCACACCAUGGGAGUGGGCUGCAAAAGAAGUGGAUAGCUUAACCCUUCGGGAGGGCGUUCACCACUUUGUGGUUCAUGACUGGGGUGAAGUCGUACAAGGUACCAAUC
rnacentral:rRNA from 1 species